AGGUAUCAAAUCCUGAAUUCAUAGGGGUUUGAAGCGAACCCGGGGAACUGAAACAUCUCAGUACCCGGAGGAAAGGACAUCAACGAGACUCCGUCAGUAGUGGCGAGCGAACGCGGACCAGGCCGUGCAGUGACACAAACAGAACUGACUGGAACGUCAGGCCGUAGAGGGUGACAGCCCCGUAUGUGUAGAAUGAUCUGCCGUUCGAGUAGGGCGGGACACGUGAAAUCCUGUCUGAACAUGGGGGGACCACCCUCCAAGCCUAAGUACUCCUCAGCGACCGAUAGCGAACCAGUACCGUGAGGGAAAGGUGAAAAGAACCCCGACAAGGGGAGUGAAAGAGUCCCUGAAACCGGAUGCUUACAAACAGUAGGAGGGCGAAAGCCUGACUGCGUACCUUUUGUAUAAUGGGUCAGCGACUUAAUCUGACGAGCAAGCUUAAGCCGAUAGGUGUAGGCGCAGCGAAAGCGAGUCUGAACAGGG
rnacentral:rRNA from 1 species